GCCUUCGUGGUGUAGAGGUCAGCAUACUCGGAGCGUAUUCGAGAGGUCAGGGGUUCGAGUCCCGUCGAGGGCA
rnacentral:tRNA from 1 species